GACGAACGCUGGCGGCGUGCCUAAUACAUGCAAGUCGAGCGCAGGAAACUGACGGAACUCUUCGGAGGGAAGGCAGCGGAAUGAGCGGCGGACGGGUGAGUAACACGUAAGGAACCUGCCUCAAGGAUUGGGAUAACUCCGAGAAAUCGGAGCUAAUACCGGAUAGUUCAUCGGACCGCAUGGUCCGUUGAUGAAAGGCGCUCCGGCGUCACCAUGAGAUCGCCUUGCGGUGCACUAGCUAGUUGGUGGGGUAACGGCCCACCAAGGCGACGAUGCAUACGCGACCGGGGAGGGGGAUCAGCCAUACUGGGACUGAGACACCGCCGAGACUCCUACGGGAGGCAGCAGUAGGGAAUCUUCCCCAAUGGACGAAAGUAGGUUGGAGCAACGCCGCGUGAGUGAUGAAGGUGUUCGGAGCGUAAAACUCUGUUGUAAGGGAAGAACACGUACGAGAGGAAAUGCUCGUACCUUGACGGUACCUUACGAGAAAGCCACGGCUAACUACGUGCCAGCAGCCGCGGUAAUAC
rnacentral:rRNA from 1 species